rnacentral:rRNA from 1 species
GACGAACGCUGGCGGCGUGCUUAACACAUGCAAGUCGAACGGACAGGCCCUGCUUUUGUUGGGUGCUCGAUUGCCGAACGGGUGAGUAAAACGUGUGUAUUACGCCCUUGACUUUGGGAUAACUUCAGGAAACAGCGGCUCUUAUCCGAUAGGAGAUCUUGCACCAUGGUGGGGGUUGGUAAGUUUCGGCGGUUGGGGAUGGUCUCGCGGCUUAUGAGCUUGUUGGUGUGGUUGUGGCUUACCAAGGUUUUGACGGGUAGCCGGCCUGAGAGGGUGACCGGCCACAUUGGGACUGAGGUACGGCCCAGACGCCUACGGGAGGCAGCAGUGGGGAAUAUUGCACAAUGGGCGGAAGCCUGAUGCAGCAACGCCGCGUGCGUGAUGACGUCCUUCGGGUUGUAAACCGCUUUCGACGGUGACGAAGCGUGAGUGACGGUAAUGGGUAAAGAAGCACCGGCUAACUACGUG